UACAGAGGGUGCGAGCGUUGUUCGGAAUUACUGGGCGUAAAGCGCGCGCAGGCGGCCGUUUAAGUCUCACCGUACAAGCCCGGAGCUCAACUCCGGACCGCGGGGGAUACUGGAGGGCUAGGGACAUGUAGGGGCGAGCGGAAUUCCGGGUGUAGCGGUGGAAUGCGUAGAGAUCCGGAAGAACACCGGGGGCGAAGGCGGCUCGCUGGGCAUGGUCCGACGCUGAGGCGCGAAAGCUAGGGGAGCGAAAGGG
rnacentral:rRNA from 1 species